rnacentral:rRNA from 1 species
AAAACAUUUCUUAUAGAUAUUAUUAUAAGUCCCACCUGCUCAAUGAAUUUUAAAUAGCCGCGGAAUUUUAACCGUGCUAAGGUAGCAUAAUCACUUGCCUCUUAAUUAGAGGCUUGCAUGAAAGGUGAAACCUUUCAUAUACUUUAUUGAACAAUUUUUUUCAAAGUUAAAAUAAGAAUAAAAAUGUUCUUAUGAUGAAAAUAGACGAUAAGACCCUUUUGAACUUUACUCUAGUUUAGCUGGGGCAGCUUAAAAAUAAUAAUCUUUUUAUACCCCUUUUAAAUAAACGACCCAAUAAAAUUGAUUACUUGACCAAUGUUACCAUAGGGAUAACAGCGUAAUAUAUUUUUAAAGCUCUUAUUUAAAAAUAAGCUUGCGACCUCGAUGUUGAAUUAGUGUAACUUAUACGGUGCAGUAACUGUUAAAGUAGGUCUGUUCGACCUUUAAAACAUUACAUGAUCUGAG